AUAGCACACAUAGUUUGAUCUCGUUUUCAUAUCGCUAGUUCGUAUUUGGAUGGCUUGAGUGAAAUGAAUGAAACUAUAUUUUUUUUAAUUGCCAUGCAAAAAUUAUAAAUACUACCACUAAUUGUUUUAAAUAAUUUUGUUCCUACAAUAUAUUUUGUUGGAAUUAGUGUCGAUAGCAAGUAUCAAGAAACAGCUUUUUAAUUCAACGUUGAAGAAAUUCAUAACCUGUGGCACUUUUGACAGCCGCCAUGUUUUCUCCAUAAAAACAUUGAUUUUCUUUGCUCAUUUUCAUGUCAACGUAGUUUUUUUGGAAAAUAAGAAGAAAGGAAGUUUAACUUACUUAGAGAAAUACGACUGAGACAUAAACACAAGCAGCAGCCGAUGUGCUUGAGUAGCAGAAGGAGCAACUGCGUUGUGAGAGGGCCACGGCUUCAGCCCUCACAAUGAUAGCUGAUUAGCUGAAGUAAUGAACAGACAGGCUGCAGUCAAUGAGAGGCUUCUUGAGGAGGGGUUCCUCAUAUGGAAAAGAUUUUAGCGGCGACGCAGUUGCGCGACCAGUGAAGCUCUGGCUCCGCGACCGGCGUGGAGCGCGCGGUCCGCGCGGCGCUGCUGCGGCUGCUGCGCGGGAGGAUCCCGUCCCUGCGCAUGCGCCUGGCCUUCAAUGACCUCACGCCUCUCUUCUUCCUCUUCUUCAUGCGUCAAUUCAAACAGAGGAGCUGUGAUUACUGAUUACCUAAGUUCCUAUAUACAAUAAUAGUUUAAUAAUUGUUAACAAAAUAUUGUAUAUAUAAGUAUUAAUAAUUACUUAUACAAAAGGCUAAAAGCAUUUUGUACCAGCCAACCUAUAGGAGAGAAUAUGAGAAAAAUAAUAAUUCUUUAAUCUUUGAUUGCCAUUAUCUGUAGCUUUAUUAAGUGGUAAAGGGACCUAAUUACUACCUAUAUUUUUUUAGUAUUUGUGAUAAUUCAUAGAAUUUAUUAGUUCUAUCAAUAAAUAAAAUAUACAUGCAUUACAAUGUGUUUAAUUCAUUAACUUACAAUUUGCACACUGAGGGAAUGUGUAUGCUUUCGGUUAAAAUAUUCUUCCUCAUUCUGCGAGGGCCUCAGGCCAAAACCCACACCAAUCAAAUAAAUAUCACUAAUACAAGCUUACUAUAAAGGAAAAUUACGAAUUCGGUAAAGAUGGAAACGUAUCUCGUAGGGACGGCUGUCCGGCUGAAAAAUGGCUUGAAGAUCUUGGAGAGAUGCGUACAAGGUCAAUUUCACAGUUUUUUGCAGUAUUUUUCUGAAAACGAUCUAACAAUUUCACCCUUUUCUUCGAAAGUUUAAAAUCGCAUAAACGUCAAAAUAUGACGGAUAAGCGAUAUCAAAAAAUUCAACAAAAAUGACAUGAAUCGCGUCAUUCUCCAUUCGUUCAUUCAUUUUGCGAUCUCGAAACGAUCUUACUAUGUAGCUUGGGUUUUAGUGCCAUGUGAAUCGCAAUUUGACAACUCGUUCGUAAAAAUCUGAAAACGAGAUGAAAGCGACGGGGUUUUUUGUGACACGAAUCACCAUCCUGGGGCGCGAUUCACAUCUCAACCGAAAUAUUUGUAAAGCGAUACGAACGAGUUACGAGAUGAAAUCCGCAAUGUUUAAAAACGCGAUUCAUAGCACACAUACUUUGAUCUCGUUUUCAUAUCGCUAGUUCGUAUUUGGAUGGCUUGAGUGAAAUGAAUGAAACUAUAUUUUUUUUAAUUGCCAUGCAAAAAUUAUAAAUACUACCACUAAUUGUUUUAAAUAAUUUUGUUCCUACAAUAUAUUUUGUUGGAAUUAGUGUCGAUAGCAAGUAUCAAGAAACGGCUUUUUAAUUCAACGUUGAAGAAAUUCAUAACCUGUGGCACUUUUGACAGCCGCCAUGUUUUCUACAUAAAAACAAACAUAACAAACAUUGAUUUUCUUUGCUCAUUUUCGUGUCAACGUAGUUUUUUGGAAAAUAAGAAGAAAGGAUGUUUAACUAACUUAGAGAAAUACGACUGAGACAUAAUCAUGAACGAGAUGAACACAAGCAGCAGCCGAUGUGCUUGAGUUGCAGAAGGAGCAACUGCGUUGUGAGAGGGCCACGGCUUCAGCCCUCACAAUGAUAGCUGAAGCAAUGAACAGACAGGCUGCAGUCAAUGAGAGGCUUCUUGAGCAGGGGCUCCUCAUAUGGAAAAAGGCUAAUGAAAGGAACAAUCAAGACCAGACUUAAAGUAAAGAUUUUAGCGGCGACGCAGUUGCGCGACCAGUGAAGCUCUGGCUUCGCGACCGGCGUGGAGCGCGCGGUCCGCGCGGCGCUGCUGCGGCUGCUGCGCGGGAGGAUCCCGUCCCUGCGCAUUCGCCUGGCCUUCAAUGGCCUCACGCCUCUCUUCUUCCUCUUCUUCAUGCGUCAAUUCAAACAGAGGAGCACCUGUGAUUACUGAUUACCUAAGUUCCUAUAUACAAUAAUAGUUUAAUAAUUGUUAACAAAAUAUUGUAUACAUACAUAAGUAUUAAUAAUUAUACAAAAGGCUAAAAGCAUUUUGUACCAGCCAACCUAUAGGAGAGAAUAUGAGAAAAAUAAUAAGACUUUAAUCUUUGAUUGCCAUUAUCUGUAGCUUUAUUAAGUGGUAAAGGGACCUAAUUACUACCUAUAUUUUUUAGUAUUUGUGAUAAUUCAUAGAAUUUAUUAGUUCUAUCAAUAAAUAAAAUAUACAUGCA